rnacentral:rRNA from 1 species
AGAGUUUGAUCCUGGCUCAGAGUGAACGCUGGCGGCAGGCCUAACACAUGCAAGUCGAGCGGCAGCACAGUCGUAGCAAUACGAUGGGUGGCGAGCGGCGGACGGGUGAGGAACACAUCGGAAUCUACCCUGUCGUGGGGGACAACGUAGGGAAACUUACGCUAAUACCGCAUACGACCUUUGGGUGAAAGUGGGGGACCCGCAAGGGCCUCACGCGAUUGGAUGAGCCGAUGUCCGAUUAGCUAGUUGGCGGGGUAAUGGCCCACCAAGGCGACGAUCGGUAGCUGGUCUGAGAGGACGACCAGCCACACUGGAACUGAGACACGGUCCAGACUCCUACGGGAGGCAGCAGUGGGGAAUAUUGGACAAUGGGGGCAACCCUGAUCCAGCCAUGCCGCGUGGGUGAAGAAGGCCUUCGGGUUGUAAAGCCCUUUUGUACGGGAAGAAAAGCUGCCGGUGAAUAUCCGGUGGUCAUGACGGUACCGUAAGAAUAAGCACCGGCUAACUUCGUGCCAGCAGCCGCGGUAAUACGAAGGGUGCAAGCGUUACUCGGAAUUACUGGGCGUAAAGCGUGCGUAGGUGGUGAGUUAAGUCUGAUGUGAAAUCCCCGGGCUCAACCUGGGAAUGGCAUUGGAUACUGGCUCGCUAGAGUGCGGUAGAGGGUGGUGGAAUUCCCGGUGUAGCAGUGAAAUGCGUAGAGAUCGGGAGGAACAUCUGUGGCGAAAGCGGCCACCUGGACCAACACUGACACUGAGGCACG